rnacentral:precursor_RNA from 1 species
UAUGGUAAAUGAAUGAAUGAUGCGAGAGACAAAUUGAGUCUUCACUUCUCUAUGCUUGGACUGAAGGGAGCUCCCUAUUUUUAUCUUUCUCAGAGUACCACAUUUUAUAUCUAUAUAUAUACAAGCAUUGAAUUCGUGUGUAUAACUCAAGAUCAAGUUCAACAUUGAUCGAUAUGAAUAUAGAUAAGUUUGACAUUGGACUCAUAUGAGUGUUUAUAGUGUUGUUUUGCAGGAUUCAGUUCAGCCAUGGACCUCCUUGAACAUCUUCGAGUCCAGUCUACGAAGAUUUUUUUUUUAUCUUUUUCUCUCUAUCAAAUAAGUGUCACUAACAAUCUUUCAAGAUAAGGUUUUACAAGUUCAUAAAAAAUGUAUUUUUCUUUUCUUACAUUUUUGCAUUUCAUGUAAGAUUAAAUAUCUAGCUUUCGCUCAAUAAAAGAUGACUUAUUUGUAA